UGCCAUCUGGAAAUACAUGUAUUCGAUACACAAGAGCAUGCUCUACGUAGGAAGAAUUUCUAAAAUGAGAUUUUCCGUUAUUUCCCAAUAAUGACAAGGAGCACACAGUGGGUGUGACCUGUUGGCAGGGGAUGAUCACUCCUUCAUGGCACAUGAUCCCACCUCUGAUGUAUUAGAGAAUUAAAGGAUUGUACUUCAGCAGCCCCAGACGACACACCUCAAAAAUCCUGUGUGAGCAUUUUAUCUACCUGUACUUCUGAACCAGGUGUAUCUUAGAGAACUACUGGAUCAAGACCAGGCGUGAAAAUAUAUGGAUGAGCAGUAUUAGAUCAGUGAUUAGAUACAAAGAUUUAACCGAGAUCAGACAUAUAAAGAAAAGAGGAACACGACUGGAUCAGUGAUUAAAAAAAAUUAUUUCAGACCAUGCGUGGAAAAUAUGGACAUAUUAGAUCAGUGAUUAAAAACAAAAUUUUAUCCUAGACUAGGCGUGAAAAGAUAUGAAUGAGCACUAUUGGAUCAGAGAUUAGAUACAAAAUUUUAUCCUAGACCACAGGCGUGAAAAGAUAUGGAUGAGCAGUACUAGAUUGGUGAUACAAAAUGUCAUCCUAGAAAAGGCGUGAUGAAAUGCAGAUGUAUGACAUUACAUCCAAAUGCGUUUUCAAUCCGUAUCCUGUCUUCUGUCAACAGUUUGCUUGAUUUUUAUGUCGUUAAGACUUUAAAAUUUAUUUUUUUUUUAUAAUAUUGGUUGUUCCUUCGUUUAAUUAUUUGGCUUUAUUGUCAGCCUAUAUUUUGCGUAAAUUUGUUAUUCAUACUUUUUCAAACGUUUUUUUCUGUAUUCUUUCCUUUAUUUUAGUUCAAUUAAGUUGUAUAAUUUAAUACAUUUUUAAACUUUAUUUUAAACAUUUAAAACAUACAUAUACAUAAAAUUAAAAAUUAAACAUACAGGAGCUGGAAGUAUUGAAUAUUUCAAGAAUAGCUAGGGCUGUUCAGAAAAAUGUCGGACAAUAUCAAUGAUCAACACAUAAUAAUAUGUAAAAAAAAAUUUACUUUGUUGGUGUGUUUUGUUUCAUAAUUAAUCAAAGAAACUUAUUAUCCAUUAAUCUAAAAUUAACAUGUU